ACAUUUUUUCAUUUAAUAAUGGUGUGCGGGCGCUUUAAGGUGCUGGGCGGGAUUUCUAUCCCCUAUAUAUAGAUGUUGGACCCUUAUUUGGUGUGCGCUUCCUGUCCCCCACUCCUCUCUCUCCCGGAGCAUCUCACUUCCGGUCCAGCGGCAUUCAGCUUGGUCGAUUUAGCGCGGUUUUUGGCUCACUUCCAAAGAAGACUUGAAGAUUUUCGGCUGUUUUGCCGGCCCAGCAGCGUUGUAUUGUGCUCUUGUGGGUCUAGUUUCACUUUCAGUUUCAUAAGGGAUAGCGGCCGUGUGGCUGUGCUGUUGCCGUGCUGUAGCUGAUCGUCUGCUGUGGCCAUUUCCUGUGUCUGCCGUGCCAUUUUCUGCUAGCUGCUGUUUGCUGCACCAGCUGUGAUUGCCAGUGGUGUUGUCUGCUCUCUGCACUCUAACCCUGAUUGUUUGGGGAAACUGCAUGCUGUAUCAGAAGUGUGUGUGUGUGUGUGUGUUGUGGUGGUUGUACUGUGGUGUGGUAAAGAGGGGCUAGGGUUAGAGAGACCAGGACUAAAUAAGAUAAGUGCCUUUCUCUUUUAUAUAGUUGUUGCAAUUAAUUGUGUAGUUUUAAUUUGAAAUAUAGUUCUGGUAAAAUUAUUAGUGGUCUCUCCCCUCUACUGUUUGCCAUACUUAAUUUUGUUUCUUUUUUGGCUGGACAGGAGCUGUGGGCCAAAGCGACAGAGCUUGGGGUGUGGAGUACCUUUUCACCAUUCUGUAGUGUAGAGCACUUGGUGUUUGAGAUAUGCAGUGCAGUCACGUGUGGUGUGUGUAGUGUAGGUGACCUCGUAUCCUUUUUCUGCUCCUUUCUGCCGCGGUAAGCCCUCAGUCCAGUCCUGGCCUGAGUCUUAAUAUUAAUUUGUCUGUCCAGUGUUUGUGUGUGUGUGUGAAAAUGUUUUAAAAAUAAUUGUUAAUAAAAUUGUGUUUAAAUAUUUGGAACUCCGUCUCUGGUCUCAAAGUGUUCUAGAUCUGCGUGUCUUUAAUUUUCUUGGCUUUAAGGGCCAGUUAUAUUUCCUAGGGGUGAAAUUCCCUUAGGUGGCGUAGUCCUGCACUAUUUACUAUAAAUAUUUAUUGGUAUGUUUACUCUCUCUUGCCACAUGUGCUUUAACACUGAACGCUGAAAGUUGCACUUUUAAACACAGUGUUUGGACGUGCAGCGCAGAUGUACACAUGUAAACCGAGUCACACAGCUGUGAGUAGUGAAUGCAGCACAGGCCGCAUGUGCAUUAACACAGCGUUUGUUCAUAGCUGUGGUAAUUAGCAUUAUCUGGCUAAUAUAUCAGUUAAAGCAGUUUAGCUCAAAUAAAUUGACUAUAUUUAAUAGGUCGGAUCGAGACCGGAUCACGUUCUCACCACAAGUGAUCCGCUCCAGAGUUCAUUUGGGACCGGACCGAGACCACCUCCUCUAGCAGGUUUCAGUUCGGUUCUUUUGAUCCACACCCGAGUGUGAUCACUUUUUUUUACACCUGCUCAAUCAUACUGCACUAAAGUUACAAACGGACCAUAGUUCAUUUUAAUCGGACCGAACAGUGCUGGUGAGAUAGUGAUGUAGGUUAGAAUGAUGGUGAGGUGGAAUGUGUGAGUUAGAAUGAUGGUGAGGUGGAAUGAGUGAGGUAGAGUGAUGGUGAGGUAAAAUGUGAGUGAAGCAGAGUGAGAUAGUGAUGUAAGUUAGAAUGAUGGUGAGGUGGAAUGAGUGAGGUAGAGUGAUGGUGAGGUAAAAUGUGAGUGAAGCAGAGUGAGAUAGUGAUGUAAGUUAGAAUGAUGGUGAGGUGGAAUGAGUGAGGUAGAGUGAUGGUGAGGUAAAAUGUGAGUGAAGCAGAGUGAGAUAGUGAUGUAAGUUAGAAUGAUGGUGAGGUGGAAUGAGUGAGGUAGAGUGAUGGUGAGGUAAAAUGUGAGUGAAGCAGAGUGAGAUAGUGAUGUAAGUUAGAACGAUGGUGAGGUGGAAUGAGUGAGGUAGAGUGAUGGUGAGGUAAAAUGUUAGUGAAGCAGCGUGAGAUUGUAAUGUGAGAUAGAAUGAUAGUGAGGUGGAAUGAGUGAGGUAGAGUGAUGGUGAGGUAAAAUGUGUGUGAAGCAGCAUAAGAUUGUGAUGUGAGGUAGAAUGAUGGUGAGAUGGAAUGAGUGAGGUAGAGUUAUGGUGAGGUAAAAUGUGAGUGAAGCAGCGUGAGAUUGUGAUGUGAAGUAGAAUAAUGGUGAGGUAGAGAGUCACU